rnacentral:lncRNA from 1 species
GCGCCUCGGGCCACAGGGCAACCUCGCUGCUUUCCCCGUGCUGUUGCAGGACGAUCGCGUGCACAAGGAGGCGCCCUCGGCCGCCCGGGAACCCCAGGGCAGCCCGGGCCGCGGCGCCUCCGCAGUCUCCGUGUGCACUGGGGCUGCGGCCAGCAAGCGGCGGCGAACGUCCCGUGAGAACGGAAGAUGCUCGGUCGGGUUGGACCCGGCCUGGGCGCGAUGCCCCGGUUCCCUUCUGCCGCCACCGCCCCCCAACCCCGCCGCCGCCUGCGCGGCCUCGCCCGCCUCGCGGUCGCCAUGGCAACCUCCGCGUGCCGAGCUUUCUCCCGGUGUGAUCAGGCCCGGAACCGUCUGGAACCCGCAGUGCUGUACGUGAGGAUUUAAGGACAGAGCAGCUCGACCCAGCUUUGAGGCGGGCGGACCGUUUCCUGCCGGAAGGAAACGCUGCUGGCCGUCGGAUCUGGGUUCCCCGCCACCCUGCUGACUCCUUCGGCCUCGGGGGCUGUGGGGCUGCAAGCUCUCAGCCGGCCCGGCCCACGUCCUGCUAGCUGCGUCCUGGCUUCCCGCAGUCUCCAAACUGAAAAUGUCCAACAUCUUUCUUCUGGCUUUCAGAAGCAUAGCACACCAUUGUCCUCCAUGGUCGCCCUGCUGUCCUUGCUACACCAGGCAACCGGGAGAAUGGCCAGAAAGUGAAGUCUUUGCACCCUGAGGCUAAUAUCACAUUGCUCUGCGGAGAUGGAUUCAGCCCAGAUUUUCCCCACUAACACAUAAUGAGAUUGAAAAGAGAAAAGUCUUGGUGACUCGCUGAAGAUCCAGUGGGCAGUUACUGAAGGAUUCAAAUCUGUAAAGGAGUCUUCUAACGUCAAGCAUACAACAAAUAUGUGCACGGAUGUUUCUUUGCAGUGCUUUCAGUCAGAGAUGUUUAAUGGUUUGAAAUCUGGGGUAGUAUUCUAGGAGUGAGGCAAUUUAGUAGUAAGAGCUCUCUUCCAGAAAUCUGGGGUCUCCCCAAGACCAAAUUUAUGAGUUUAUUUUAGGCCCACUACAUUGUGCUAUAAAAGUACAAACACAUAGGUAGAAAUAUGAAUGUAAAUACACAGAGCAACACCUAAACAGCAAAAUUAUAGGCUAUUCCAUAGUAACUUCCUUUGGCAUGGCCUACCCAGUGCAGGUUCCAGAAAGGUGUUUGCAUUAGCAGAGCUGAGCCCUCGAAGCUUGUGCCAUCUUCCUCUUUCUUGCUUUUGUAGUUUUACCUCUUUUCUAUCAAAGGGGGAUAUUUAGGUUAAAUCCAUUUUAUAUCAAUCUUUUUUCCUUUUUGCAAAAUGUACAUGUGCCUGUCUCACCACUCCUUAGAAAGACAACUUAGGACACACGGCCAUGCACCAGUCCACUUGCCAUGAGCUUUGUGGGUAACAGAGAUUCCUGAGUCAUAGGAUCUGUUCUUCCCAGCAACCAUGACUUCAUUGAACUAGCCAAUCGAGUUAGACUGUGAGGCCACACUCCCACCAAUCGGGAAGGCACAGUGACACUGGUUUCAGGGAAUAAAAACUGGAAAGAUUACUUGUGUGUUCAGGUCGCCUUUGUUCAGCCCGGCCAUGUACCCUUCUGCAGAAGUAAACAGCCUUGCCGAGAUACCCUUAAGGUUUGUUUCUUUUAUCUGUUUGUGACACUGAAAUUUUGUGUCCCACACACGUGUGGUACCCCGCCAGGUAAGAUCAGGUAGGGAAGUAAGCAUUUGGAAACUUUGAAGCAAUUAACUGGGUGCAGGAAACACUACCCCAGAAUAUGGCAACUUCACGUAUCCAGCACUGUGAGCUGAAGGAAACAGAAGCCUAGCGUAGCAGCGGUGUUCUGACUUUCUCUCUUGAAGACCCUCCCCACCAUGGGACAGCUGCCAUCCAGUGACGGAACAUCACACAGAGACACCAAGAAGAAUCUACACAGCGAGGCUCUUUCAAGUUCCCUGUAAACUCGUCGCCUCAGAUGAAAGAAAUGAGCCUCAAAAGUGAAAUAAAUGACCGACUGACAACCCGGAGCUGCUGGAUGGGGAGUCUGAGCCCAGGACCCAGGGCUGAUUGGCUCCAACACCCUGUCUGCCCUCACAGCAUUCUCUCAGCCCCAGAAGAGAAAGUCUGUAGUCGUGUGCAAUUCUCUUGUCACUUUGCUAUCAUAUAUGAGACUAAAUAGCAGAAGGCUGGCUUUCCCGAAGGAGUGUGGGAUUUGACUUCACACAGGCCUGUAGUUCCCAUGGAUCAAAGACACAUGCAUGUGGAGCCAUGCUUUCAAUUCUAGGUGCUUCCACAAUGAAAGGAUGAAUUGGGGUCAGUGGUCCCCACAACAUCUUCUGGCCUAACAGGAAAGAGAAACGUAAAAAGUGCUUUUGAAAAGACAGAGUAAGUGAGCUAGAUUGUUGUACGUGUGGAAGAACCAUUGUUUUUUACUGUAAGUAGUACAAAAGAUAUUAAUGACUCCGUGUACCUGGUAGUGGGGAUGAAGCCCAGUAGAUCCAUUAUGCAGCUUAAUUUAAGGGUCAUUCGCUGUCAUGUCGAUUCCGGCUGUAUGAAACAUCUGUUGGUCUCCCCCGUGGAGAAUGUAGUCUGAUGUCUCUUUGCAUUUGGUGUCAAACUGGCUCUGAAGCAUGAGACACAUGGACCCAGUUGCUCCAAGGCAUGAGUUAAGGCCAGCGGACACUGAAGGGUUAAGUGCCAUUUUGACAGUGCAAACAUACAUAGGAUUGAACAGUGACUUCAUUUGUGUCACUGGAGUGGUUUCUUCUGAUGUGGUGGCUCCUCCAAGACCUAAAACAAAACCAGAUACACACAAACAGAAACUAAAUGAUCCUUCCCCCAAAGGAUGGAAGGACAAUCGUCCACAAAACCAUUAAGAAAACAUAACCACUGACAGGAGUAUGUGUGGUGCUUUGAUUUGUAAUAGUGGAUCCUUAUAUACCUGAUAAUUUAGUUCAAAUGGGGCACAAAAAAACAAUUCUUUUAUCAGAGCCUUACCAGUGGCAUUGUUAUAAAGGACAUGCUGCCCUGGGAAGGGAAAUUUUGUCCCAUUCAAACACAUUCUGAAUAUCUCAAAAAAUACUCCCUUAUUUAUGAGAAUGUGUUUCUCAAACAGAAGAUUGAAUUUUAUCUUUGCAGAAACUCAUUUUCUCUCCCUCUAAUGACAUGUAAAUCAUUUUCCCUUUAUUUUUUCAACUUUUUAUUUCAUUGGUUUCUAAGAUGCCAGUCUUAAAAUGUCUAUUGUUUCUAUUGUAUUGAAAUAAUUUUCUCUUUGUGGAGAGUCCACAUGUCGACAUUCUAUAGGCAAUAAUUUAUAUUUCUAUUGAUAGACCAGAAGUACUUAUUAGGAUAUGCAUCAUAAAAAAUUCCUUCAUAUCUUCCAACUGCUUUCAACUGGCAAGUUCACUAAGCCCUAAUUUCUAUGUAGAUAUAAUUAGCUGUUCUUUUCUCCUUUUUUUCCAGUGCUAGGGAUCAAAUCCCAGGAACACCUCUUCUUAAAGCAGGAGUUUUGCACAGCAUCUGUAAGGAUGUGUCAGAUGACAAAUGGGUGUGAGAUGGAGUCCACUGUUUUCCUAGGACCUGGAAACAUUUGUGUCCUAGUCACUCCUCAGACGGACAGGCACUUUUUCCAAAUAAGGUUAGCAAUUUGAGGUUUACCUUUUAGGAGUUAUUUGAAUAAAGGAAACAGGAAAUACAAGAAAUCACCUUGUAGUACAAAAUAAGCUCUCUUAUUACAUAGGACGAAAUCAGCUUUCCUCUGUCAGUGGCUGCUGCCCAUCCCCAGUUCCCCAAUGCAAUGCCAGCCUGGAAAUAAGUUUCAGCAAAGACAUACUUAAUUUUCUGUUUGAAAGAACAUCGAAAGGAGGUGGACACUUCAGGACACUGGGCAUACACCAAAAGGUAUGACAGUCAAUGCUCUCUUUCUGUCACCAUGGUGAAAUACCUCUGAUAAUUCAGAAAGGUGUGUCAGCUCACAGUGCCUGAGGUUCCAUUCGCGAUCAAGUGGACCACAGACCAGACCUCUGGUCAGGGUGCCUGGUGAAAAUUCAGGGCACACAUGCUCACUUUCCACCCAGGAAGAGAGCAGGACCAUGCAGUUUCCUAUGGAGAAUAUUCCAGAGACAAAGAUUUCUCACAGGGCCCCACCUCCUAAAGGUCCAAGCACCUUCCUCCUUGCCACCAUGGUGACCACCGUGCCUCAGGAGACGCCCAUCUAAACUACAGAAGGCAGCCAGGUUCCCUACAGUCAGACACCCAUCGAUCCCACCUGGGUGGAAGAAGGUGGCUGAAUCACUUCAAAAUCCUCAGCCUGUCUGAGUCCCCACUAAAAUGUCCCGGAGGACAAGGGCUCUAGCUCAGGUUUGGUGCCUGAAGGCAGAAAAACACGUGGACCUGCUCAUGGGGUUCUCACAGUCUAAUGAGGGACCUAAGGGCUGGGUGUGCAAGUUCAAUGCAGGUCUGUAGGGCCAAGAUCCAAAAAGAGCUCCCCAGCAGGAGCUGUGUUCUGUGGCUGGGGGCUUGCAAGCAUGGAAGAUGGAGUUGCCUGAGAGGAGGCAUCUGUGUGUGAC